rnacentral:rRNA from 1 species
UACGAAGGGUGCAAGCGUUACUCGGAAUUACUGGGCGUAAAGCGUGCGUAGGUGGCCAACUAAGUCAGACGUGAAAUCCCUCAGCUUAACUGGGGAACUGCGUCUGAUACUGGAUGGCUUGAGAUUGGGAGAGGGAUGCGGAAUUCCAGGUGUAGCGGUGAAAUGCGUAGAUAUCUGGAGGAACACCGGUGGCGAAGGCGGCAUCCUGGACCAACACUGACACUGAGGAGCGAAAGCCAGGGGAGCGAAACGGG